rnacentral:sRNA from 1 species
UCUUGUGAGUCCGCGCGGAUGGGUACC